ACGAACGCUGGCGGCGUGCCUAAUACAUGCAAGUAGAACGCUGAAGAAAGGAGCUUGCUUCUUUUGGAUGAGUUGCGAACGGGUGAGUAACGCGUAGGUAACCUGCCUUGUAGCGGGGGAUAACUAUUGGAAACGAUAGCUAAUACCGCAUAACAGCUUUUGACACAUGUUAGAAGCUUGAAAGAUGCAAUUGCAUCACUACGAGAUGGACCUGCGUUGUAUUAGCUAGUAGGUAGGGUAACGGCCUACCUAGGCGACGAUACAUAGCCGACCUGAGAGGGUGAUCGGCCACACUGGGACUGAGACACGGCCCAGACUCCUACGGGAGGCAGCAGUAGGGAAUCUUCGGCAAUGGGGGCAACCCUGACCGAGCAACGCCGCGUGAGUGAAGAAGGUUUUCGGAUCGUAAAGCUCUGUUGUAAGAGAAGAACGUGUGUGAGAGUGGAAAGUUCACACAGUGACGGUAACUUACCAGAAAGGGACGGCUAACUACGUG
rnacentral:rRNA from 1 species